GACGAACGCUGGCGGCGUGCUUAACACAUGCAAGUCGAGCGGUAAGGCCUUUCGGGGUACACGAGCGGCGAACGGGUGAGUAACACGUGGGUGAUCUGCCCUGCACUUCGGGAUAAGCCUGGGAAACUGGGUCUAAUACCGGAUAUGACCUCCUAUCGCAUGGUGGGUGGUGGAAAGAUUUAUCGGUGCAGGAUGGGCCCGCGGCCUAUCAGCUUGUUGGUGGGGUAAUGGCCUACCAAGGCGACGACGGGUAGCCGACCUGAGAGGGUGACCGGCCACACUGGGACUGAGACACGGCCCAGACUCCAACGGGAGGCAGCAGUGGGGAAUAUUGCACAAUGGGCGAAAGCCGGAUGCAGGGACGCCGCGUGAGGGAUGACGGCCUUCGGGUUGUAAACCUCUUUCAGCAGGGACGAAGCGCAAGUGACGGUACCUGCAGAAGAAGCACCGGCUAACUACGG
rnacentral:rRNA from 1 species